CCUACGGGAGGCUGCAGUGAGGAAUAUUGGUCAAUGGACGCAAGUCUGAACCAGCCAUGCCGCGUGCAGGAUGACGGCUCUAUGAGUUGUAAACUGCUUUUGUACGAGGGUAAACCCCGAUACGUGUAUCGGGUUGAAAGUAUCGUACGAAUAAGGAUCGGCUAACUCCGUGCCAGCAGCCGCGGUAAUACGGAGGAUCCGAGCGUUAUCCGGAUUUAUUGGGUUUAAAGGGUGCGUAGGCGGUUUGAUAAGUUAGAGGUGAAAUGUCGGGGCUCAACCCCGAAACUGCCUCUAAUACUGUUUGACUAGAGAAUAGUUGCGGUAGGCGGAAUGUAUGGUGUAGCGGUGAAAUGCUUAGAGAUCAUACAGAACACCGAUUGCGAAGGCAGCCUGCCAAGCCAUGACUGACGCUGAUGCACGAAAGCGUGGGGAUCAAACAGGAUUAGAUACCCCUGUAGUC
rnacentral:rRNA from 1 species